GACGAACGCUGGCGGCGUGCUUAACACAUGCAAGUCGAACGGAAAGGCCCUGCUUGCAGGGUACUCGAGUGGCGAACGGGUGAGUAACACGUGGGUGAUCUGCCCUGCACUUCGGGAUAAGCCUGGGAAACUGGGUCUAAUACCGGAUAGGAGCCAUUUUUAGUGUGAUGGUUGGAAGGUUUUUUCGGUGUAGGAUGAGCUCGCGGCCUAUCAGCUUGUUGGUGGGGUAAUGGCCUACCAAGGCGGCGACGGGUAGCCGGCCUGGGAGGGUGGACGGCCACAUUGGGACUGGGAUACGGCCCAGACUCCUACGGGAGGCAGCAGUGGGGAAUAUUGCACAAUGGGCGCAAGCCUGAUGCAGCGACGCCGCGGGGGGGAUGACGGCCUUCGGGUUGUAAACUCCUUUCGCUAGGGACGAAGCUUUUUGUGACGGUACCUAGAAAAGAAGCACCGGCUAACUACGUG
rnacentral:rRNA from 1 species